GGAGUCUGCAACCCGACUCCACGAAGUUGGAUUCGCUAGUAAUCGCGGAUCAGAAUGCCGCGGUGAAUACGUUCCCGGGUCUUGUACACACCGCCCGUCACACCAUGGGAGUCGGAAAUGCCCGAAGUCUGUGACCCAACCUUAGGGAGGGAGCAGCCGAAGGCAGGUCGGAUGACUGGGGUGAAGUCGUAACAAGGUAAC
rnacentral:rRNA from 1 species